GUAGUGCUGAAACUCUAAACCUAAACAAUUGUUCCUUCUUGUACCCAAAUCAUUCUUAUACCCAAAUCAUGGCCAUACUAUUUUAGCUUGGAAUCAACACUUGAAAUCAAGAAAGGAGAGUUGCCUUAUUCUUUGAUCAGGAUGCAAAGCAAAAUGAAUAUAUAUGUGCAUCAUCACGGAGAGCUUAAUUAUGAUGGUAUCAACUGCUAUAAUGGAGGGAAGAUAUUACUCACGAAGCGGAGACGGAAAAAAUUUACAGAGCUUAUUACUCUGACAAGCUUGGGACGUCCAUAAUUGUCAUGAAACCAAGUUACGAGAUCUUAUUAAAUCUGGCGGACUCUUGUUUACAGGAGCAA